rnacentral:rRNA from 1 species
GGCGAACGGGUGAGGAACACGUGAAGAAUCUGCCCUCCACUUUGGGAUAACACCGGGAAACCGGUGCUAAUACCGAAUAUUGAAACAUAAGUGGCAUCACUGAGUUUUGAAAGAAUUUCGGUGGAGGAUGACUUCGCGGCUUAUCAGCUAGUUGGUGAGGUAAUGGCUCACCAAGGCAACGACGGGUAGCCGGCCUGAGAGGGCGACCGGCCACACUGGGACUGAGACACGGCCCAGACUCCUACGGGAGGCAGCAGUGGGGAAUAUUGGGCAAUGGAGGAAACUCUGACCCAGCGACGCCGCGUGCGGGAUGAAGGCCUUCGGGUUGUAAACCGCUUUCAGUAGGGAAGAAGCGAAAGUGACGGUACCUACAAAAGAAGCACCGGCUAACUAUGUGCCAGCAGCCGCGGUAAUACAUAGGGUGCAAGCGUUGUCCGGAAUUAUUGGGCGUAAAGAGCUCGUAGGUCGUUUGUUACGUCGGAUGUGAAAACCUGAGGCUCAACCUCAGGCCUGCAUUCGAUACGGGCAAACUAGAGUUUGGUAGGGGAGACUAGAAUUCCUGGUGUAGCGGUGGAAUGCGCAGAUAUCAGGAGGAACACCAAUGGCGAAGGCAGGUCUCUGGGCCAAUACUGACACUGAGGGGCGAAAGUCUGGGGAGCGAACAGGAUUAGAUACCCUGGUAGUCCAGACCGUAAACGGUGGGCACUAGUUGUGGGAACCUUCCACGGUUUCUGCGACGCAGCUAACGCAUUAAGUGCCCC